rnacentral:tRNA from 1 species
CGGGGGUUAGCUCAGCUGGCUAGAGCGCACGGUUUGGGACCGUGAGGCCGGAGGUUCAAAUCCUCUACCCCCGACCA